GUGCAGGCGGGAUCUCAGCAUCCAGUGACCUUUCUGGGGUUAAAUCCAGACCAACUCCAAGAGCAAGGUCUGUGCUGUCAACAGCCAUGAUCAGAUGUUGGUGGCAGAGAUCACAACAGCGGCCUGUUAGCCAUGAGCUGCUCGCUUGUGCCUCGCCGCCUGUAGAAGCAAGAACAACACAAACAGUGAGUUUUGCAAUAACAGCAGCUGUCGAACAUAUACGUGCCCCGAUGCAGAUUUUGUGAGCAUAAAUAACAGGGUCGGCUACUGGGUAGAGGCUGGGGUUUCCUGCACUGCAUCCAUGAAGUCCUUUGGCUGAGCCUCAGGUGGACACCAGGCUACAGGUCCUUGUCAAGUUGCAGCAGAGACUCAAAAUCCUGUCACAGAAUCACAGAAUCGUAGAAUCAUCUACAAUGAAAAAGACCUUCAAGAUCAUCAAGUCCAACCAUCGACCUACAGAGUUCCAUCAUUAACCAUAUCCCCCAGUGCCACAUCCACACAUUUCUUAAAUACUGCAGGGAUGGGGACUCCACUCCCUAUCUCCCUAGGUAGCCUGUUCCAGUGCUUGACCAUCUUCCUUACAAACUCUGCCUGAUGCCCAGCGUAAACCUUCACUGGCACAAAUGGACACCAAGCUGGCUGAAACUUGGCAUCUAAAAUCACAAGGGAAAAACCAGGAAGAAAGAAACCACCCCUGGCUAAGCUGCUUCUGGAUGAUAUGAAAGUGAAGUUGCUGGGAGCUUUGCAGGGAACAGGAAAACGAGGGAAGCCUGACAGCAUGACACAAAGGCUCAAGCAUUUGAUGGGCCAUAAAAAAACACCUCCAAAAUACACGUUUUGUAAAAUCUCAUUAUUUUCUGAGGGUUGAUUCAUGACGAUUGAAUCGCCAGGACCGGCAAUAUUCGUAUAAUGCAGAAGAGCAAUAAACAUUACAGAAGUAAAAAAGCGCAGCUCUUCUAUACCACACGCCAGCUGCAGCGACACUACGCCUUAGCUGGAUUUAUUGUGGCAUCCUCAAGCAGAGCGAGUGGCGAAGUGCUGCCAUUACUUCUGAUUAUGAACGGAUCGGAUCUGACUACCUAAAGGAGUUUACUCUGCAGUGUGGUGUGUUUCAAUGAAAUUGCGUCACAGACACCGGCAGCCUAACCACAUUUUUAACUCCUGCGAUACACACGAUAGCAUGGCACUGCGUAUCGCCUAGACGUUGCAGCUCCCUCUGACCUAGAAGGAGAGGCACGUCAGAUUACUUCAUGCAACAAGACCUGACCAGGCACAUUUCCGCAAUGCUCUCUGCAGCAGAUGAUCUCAGGAGCCCGGCAUUUUACCUGUCCUCAACUCCCUCCUUUGGUGCAGCUCAUUGGAACACAGGAGCUUCAAUGACUGCAUUAUGGUCAGCAACUGAUUUGCUCUGAUAGGUAUCAGAGCACCUUGGAAUAUCAAUUUCACAUGAGUAAAUUGAUCUGCAGACUAUUAAAAGAUUGGCUGGCACUUGGGCAAACAAGAUAUGUAUUUUUUCCUAAUGUGAGUCAUCUUUUUAUUUGACUAGUCACACAACUCUUGGAUAAUAGGGAAAAUAUUUCUGAAGAAUGUACUUGUUUUAAUCAAAAGAGCAUUGCUGUUGAUUACACCUGUUUUCAAAAUGUUGCAUUUUCCAGUUAGGAACAAGCACAAUGAUGUAAUUAUUUUACAACUUAACUAUAAAUAGCAAGUGACAAGAAGCAAGGCAUUUCUAAACAUCAGAUGAAACGAGAAGUUAGUGUCUGAAUCAUCGAUAGAACACUUGCAAAUAAAGAAUCAAUGGAAGGAAGAUAGAGGCCAUGGUAUAUACUUGAAGGGGAAGAAAUUCAUCAGUAAAAUAGUAUGAACAACUGUUACUGUAAACAAUGUUUUAAAAAAGAGUAAAAGCCAGCUCUGUCAGAGAAGGCUUCUCAAUAAAUAUUUUAAAGCAAUCAGUGACGUUACUCAGAGAAAAGCAGUCCAAUCCCAGUCCUACAAAGACCUGAGCAAUUAUCAGCUUUUUUUGAGAGUAUAACCUCAUUUCCAGGGCAUGGUUGAGAACAGACAGGCAAGUUUGUUUUGUUUUUCAUUCAUUUUUCAUCUUCUCGUUGUUGUAAAUGGCAUGCUGUUGUUUCAGCUUCCAGCAUUAUGGUUAAGCUGCUUAUAAAUACAGCAUGACUGCAACGUCACCCAUGGAAAUCAUGGUGUGUUUAUUUACAAGAUUGCUCUUGUGUAACUGAGUGGUGAAUUCUCCUUCAACCUGAGUGUUCUUGCCUAGCAUUCCUCCUUGUUUUAAUUUCUUAUAAUAUGCAUGCUAAUACUCUUAAGAGCUUUGCUCAUGAAAUCUACGUUUACAGUGGGCUUUUAAUUUACAGCUUGAAUGUUAUUGUUCACUUGCUUCUUUCCAAUAACAAAGCACUACUGCUGUUCCUGAUGUUGUCAGAGGAUCUGAACGUUCCCUGGGUGUGCUAUGUGAAGCUCACACGGUGACAGCACCUUCCUUGAGGCUGGGGUGGGACAGCCCUGCCCUGUGCCGCUCAGCACAUCCCUGCUGCUAGGCACUGAGCAUCCUCUGCACAAAGCCUGUGGGGCCCUGAGGGAGGGUCCUUGUCUGAAGCAAAAGAAAAGAGGUUGGUUCCAAACCCUACUCUCUCCAACAUUCCCAUUUCUUAACUUCUGCCUCCUUCUUUCCCUUUUCCACAGUUAAAACAGCCUCACAGCCUUGAUGGAAAGCAAUCCACCUCUUUCCCCCAGGUUCUAACUGUGAUGCUUGUUUCUUUGCUUGCUCACACAGCAGCAUGGCUUUCAUAAGGCAAAGCAUAGCAUGUGCCUAGCAUACACUAGCAAAUCACAAAUCAAGAGAUUAACCCCGAAGUAAUUUGAUUCCUUUUUUAAAAAGCAAUGUAUUGGGUACAGAUUUGCUGUAAGGUUUUGUGUCUUUAUGUUUCCAAUUUUCUAUUUAAUGGUGAAGGUUGGGAAUUAGCUUUAAACAAAGUCAUAAAAAAGCACAAAGCAACACCUAAGGAGAACAGUUUCUUCCUCAGACGCAUGACUUCUGGAAUGUGAGUUAAAAUCAAAACAUAAAACAAACAUAAAGCGUUAGAAGCCACGAGAAGCAGAACCACAGAAAAGAUAGAUCUUUGCAUAGCUUUUAUUGUGCCUCAUGAGUAAAUAAACGAUGAGGUCAAACAACAAAUAAUGACUGUGAUAUAUGAUCUACACUGUAAAAAGCUCUAUGUUUGGUCUGGAUUUAUAAACAAACUAAACAGUUCUCUGAAAAACCAUAUUUCAUAUACUUGUACUUUAAAAGCUCUUUUACUCUCUGGCACUAUGUGAAAUAAAUAAGAACCUAACUCUGCAUUUACAUGCAGUAAAUGUGCACAGUGAUGUUUUGAAAAGGACGAGAGUUAAUAAUGCAUGAAGGGUGCUUACAUAGGGAGAUGAGGCAUUGAACUGGCUGCUGAAAACUUCUGAGGUGCAAAGGGAGCCACGUGGGCCAACGGCGGGUUUUCUUGGGAGCUUUUCUGGGUGUUGUCAGUAAAGGUGUGAUUCACCUUAGUUGAAAAUACAAAAGCCAAGAGAAGUAUUCCAGAAGAAACAAAAGGGUUUCAAAUGAAAGAUUUGCUGGAAGGAGAGAAAAAAUAUACUAAAAGGUAUUUUUCAUUAAAAUAUAUUGUAACAAAAUAGUUUUAAAAAAUAAACUACUGUGAAGUUGUUAAGAGAAGUUUAGUGAUCCUCCCUGUGAACACAGUAGCAAACAACCCUCACCCCAGCAUCUCCCUUUUCCCACUUAUCCCACGUGGCUGUUACCUUCAGUUGUGCACGGCUCACCUAGUGUCCCCAGAUCCCAGCCCCACAGCUCUACUAGCUCCUUGGCCAGGGCUUCCAGCUCAUGACACAUCUUCCCUGGCUCAGUCAGAUCCUAGGAGAAGAUGAACCGUCCCCUGAGGUGCUCCUCUCUCCCUAUAGCCAGCGAUGGAGAUGGAAUCACACACACAGAAUCACAGUAUUUUAAGGGCUGGAAGGGACCUCUAGAGAUCAUUGAGUCUAACCCCCCUGCCGAAGGAAUGGUGUCCUCAAGUUGUGUGCUUGCAUCCUGAUGGCAAGAAUGGUGAAGAGGAAUCCCAGCCCUUUUCCUAGGAUCUCUCACCUGGUUUGCUGGGAUUAAACAAUGUUGGACUAGUUGGCCCUAGAGGAAAAGAAGGAACCUGAACAAUCACUGAAAAAAUGAAAAGUGUUUGAACCAUGCUCUGAAAAUGGUGUGGAAAGACUAGUUUGAGUCUGGAGUUACUUAACCCAUGUUUAUGAAGCAGUGUGAAGGUGAAGGGGCUUGUGUCCUUCGGAAAGGAGAGCUUCUUUGGAAAACGUUCAUUACCCACUGCCACUUGGCAUCAGAUCAAAUCUGACAUGAACCACUGCAUCAAUAAAUAGCACUGAAACUAAAGGGGGGGUGCUACUGGCAGUAGGAGAAAAGAGCAGGAGACUGGCUGAAUUCUGACCUGGUACAUCUAACAGAAAGAAAGGAAGCAGCAAUCCAACACUAACGAAGAUGCAGUGAACAUCAGAGUUCUCCCGCAGAGGCUGGCACGAGCAUGGCAGCCCAAUUGCUGGGUCAGGCAUGCAGGUUGCCCUUCUCCACCCCUAACCUGUUUGUGGACAAAUCGUUAAACUCCACGUCCCAAAUGACUUCAGUAUUUCAGCCUGACCCCCAACUCCCUCUUUGCUGAAGCGCUGUUUAUUGGUGCUAACGGUAAAUGAUAUUGUGGAGUGAGUCUUUAUCUUAGCUGAUAUACUGUGUUCAUAAAGGCUGAUGUAACAAGGGUCAAAAAUGUCUUGUGAUAAAUCUCUUCUCUCUAACUCCCACGUGAAAUCAACCUUCAUGUAUCCUAGCUUUUAUACUGCUGGGCAAGGAGACAGCGGCUUGGCACAAGCGUGUGCAAAUCCCUCAGGUACUGGGAAUGAGAAGCCAAGAUUCAUUACAGUAAUAAAAUUUCAGCCUUCUAGGGAUGAGGUCAAACAAGAGCAGCAGAGGGCUGGCAAAUGGGGGCAGAAACUUCUGUACACGUGAGCGAUAAAUCAGCCUUCUGACAUGGGUUUGUUUCACUCUGCUGAGUAAAAAUAUCCUCACCGCAAAACAAGAAAUGUCCAUCGGCCAGUGCCGUAGGAUAGUUUUCUACCUGAAUUUGAAUUUUUUGCUUGUUUAUCUUUGAGCCUGACUGGCAAGGGGCGAGUCAUGACCAUUUCUGUGCGUCUCACACCAAUGGGAAAGCAGUACUUAGCAGCAGUGCAUUGAACAAUUUGGUAUCUGCUGAGAGCCGUUUGUUGCAAUGGAAGAAAUCCAGCAUUUAGUGCAAAAGCUGCUCACUGCUGGAAGUGAGAAUGGUGCACUCCAGCAUGCUACCUUCUUUUUUCAAGUCAUUGAAAACACUGUUCCUGUUAAUAUGAUUACAUUACCACAUAUGUGUUUUGUUACAGAGUAGAAACUACUGAUCAAAAUGACAAAGCAAACUGGAAAGCACGAGGCCUACUGACAAUACGACAUGUUGCCAUAACAUUUCCAAGAAGCAGGAACCUGCUGGGUGUGUCAUGGGUGGCACUGCACACCUCCCAGCCACACUCGGGCACGGCUGCACUUCUCUGCAGCUGGGGGGGCCUUCAGCUCGGCUCUGUUCUCGUAACAUGCUGAACUCCCCUCACAGAUCCCUGUUGAGGGCAAAGGCAGCAGCCAAGUUUUCCCAGCGCUGCUUUCACAGAUGUCCUGCCCCUCUGUGCAGCUCAGGUUGUUACACGGAGGCACGCUGGCUUGCAUUAAGCUCCAGAUUUCUGCAAGUGCCAACUGCAAAUCCACGGUGAGGAGUAGAAGGAAAGAAAACCCUGUAAGCAAAUAUAACACGUGCCAGCUGGUAUGUACAUGAACUUUUCUAAGGAAAGGCAGGAAUACUGGUUCUCUAGCAAUCUAUCAGUUUGCUCUCCUCUUAUUUAUGUACCCUUUAGCCUGGCUAUAAAGUGUUUAACGCAAGAAUUUAUUGCAAGGGACUGGUUAUUGAUUUGCAACCACGUACAUCUGGAAAACAUGAGCUAAAUAAAUGGCCAUUCUUUGAACUAAUGAAAAUUUAAACUCAAUGCUAAAAAAAUCGUGUUGGUAUAAAAUUAACUAAUGUUUUGAAUGCUCAUCAUACAGGCUUGGUUUACAUUUAUCAUCAAAACCUCUUAGAGAAGCUUCCGUGAAUCUUGUGGGGCAGUUUGAAUGUAGUUAAGCCACACGAGGGCCUUAUAGAGAUGAACUACACCAUCCUGAAAUAUUCUAGGGAAGGAUUAUGUGAUGGCUGUUCCCAGGGUCAGUGGGAUUCACGCUGUGGUCUCCCAUGAGACCUCCCCGAUGCUUUCUGUGAAUGAAACAAGCUAGCCCGUGACCAAGCAAUUCAGCAAACUUUCUCUCUGGGAGAGAAUCCAGGUUCCCUCUGUGUCUUUUUUUUGUUUCAUUCUUUCCCAUCUCUGCCAAAAAUGACGAGUUCAAGGACUAAGCCUGAAUUUCCUGCCAAUUCCUGUCCAGCCAUUGCCGUUGACGUGCCGACUCACUGAAUGGGGAGGUGUUAUCUGCCUCUGUCAACAAAUACCAUUCUCUUUGCAAUUCCCAGGGCAGGACCAAACUCUUCACCUGUAAGGUCAAAGUUACGUAAGCCUGGGAAAGCUAUUUAGUAAAUGAGUCCAACUCUGAUACAUGCAGGAAGAAGUAGUGCAGCCAGCUGAGCUCAAACGCAAUGCCUCCUUUCCCAUCACAGGAGCCAUAUGAAUGCUUGGCACUUUCACUAGGAAUAUGAACCAACAUGAAAAAUGUUUGCUCAUCUGAACUCUUCAUAAAUGAGUCUCUUCACAAAUUACUCACUAAUGACAGAUCUCAGCCCAGAUAUCUGUUUUACCUGUGCAGAAAGCACUUGCAUAAUCCAUUAAAAAAAAAACAUCAACAGCAAAAACAAAACAAAACAAAACAAAAAACCCACAAAACAAAAGACCCAGAAAAGACUUAAAAGUGAAGAACAUACUUUUUGCUUCGAGAUCAUUGUAUUCAGACCAGAUGUCCAGUUUUGAUACUUUCUGCUUGAAGCAAAUCCAUGGCUUUCGUUCCCUCCCUUUGCCUAUAUUUUCCUCUUCCUUAAGCA